UACGUAGGGUGCGAGCGUUAAUCGGAAUUACUGGGCGUAAAGCGCACGCAGGCGGUUUGGCGCGUGGGGUGUGAAAUCUGGCCGCUUAACGGCCAGGCGCCAUCCCAUACGGCUAGACUGGAGUGAUGCAGAGGUCGGUGGAAUUGCCGGUGUACGUGGUGAAAUGCGUAGAGAUCGGCAGGAACACCCAGGGGAAACCGAGCCGACUGGGCAUCGCACUAGUGACGCUG
rnacentral:rRNA from 1 species